rnacentral:misc_RNA from 1 species
GCCUGCGUCGUCGCCACCAGAGAAUGCGAGCCACGCGGUCCCGUGUUGACGCUUAAUUUAAUUAUUCCUGAACAAUGAGCGACGCAACCGGAGUAAGGGCUUCGUCAGCCGCUGCUGCUAAGCGAGCUGCCCGAGCAGAGGCUCAGCGACGCCGACGCCAGAAUCCAGAGGUGCGCGCCGCCGAAGCAGAAGCUAAGCGCCGUCGCCGAGAUGACCCGGGAGUGCGCGCCGCCGAAGCAGAAGCUUACAAUCGCCGUCGCCGAGAAGACCCCGCUGUUCGCGCUGCCGAAGCAAAAUCUAAGCGCCGUCGCCGAGAGGACCCUGCCGUUCGCGCCGCCGAAGCCGAAGCUAAGCGCCGCCGCCGAGAGGACCCUGCCGUUCGCGCCGCCGAAGCUAAACGCCGCCGCCGAGAGGACCCACCAGACAGAGAAAAGGAACCUGCCUCUUGCUGCACCCAUGAAAUAUUGGCGAAACCUGUGCAGACUGAGGCCUCGUGGCUGUUCAACAGCAGUGUGGUGGAUGUUGCAGUUGAGACAUCGAGAAGCGCCGACGUGUGCAAAUCAACCCAGACGUCGCUUGUCGUCGUCAAGGUGCACAGGUGGACCGAAACCACAGAUCUCAUUGAGUCCCAGGAGGGUGACACCGAUGCGCAAGAGUCUCCUGCUCCACACGUGUGUGGAAUGCCAAUGCUUACCAACAUGGAUCAGAGCCCUGGAGUUGCCGCCUUGUACAGCCAUCAAGUAGAUGUGUGUGACGACACAUUUAUGGAUUGCUCCGGUGGCCCUGCUGCUGCUCAAACGCUGUACGACGGAUCAUGCAUUGUGCGCUGGUGCACCAAUACAAGCCCAGGAAGAUUGUUCCGUGUUCCUAAAGACAACAGGAUGGAAGCUUUCCUGAAGUACGCUGAAAGGCCACACCUAUUAGGGUUGUCCAAGGAAAUAGUACAUCAUUACCGAAUCUGCUCGGCGCACUUCACGGAAUCGGACUACAUGGACCCAGCAAAAACCAAACUGAAAUGGUUGGCCGUGCCAUCCAUAAAGGCUCCAGAGGAGUCGAAAGCUCUACAAGUGUGUGGAAUGCCAAGGCUUACCAACAUGGAUCAGAGCCCUGGAGUUGCCGCAUUGUACAGCCAUCAAGUAGACGGGCAAGUGACGGCUCAUCUGUGGAUUGCUCCUCUGGCCCUGCUGCUGUUCAGUUGCCAUAUUUUGGAUCAUGCAUUGUGCGCUGGUGCACCAAUACGAGCCCAGGAAGAUUAUUCCGUGUUCCUAAAGACAACAGGAUGGAAGCUUUCCUGAAGUACGCUGAAAGGCCACACCUAUUAGGGUUGCCCAAGGAAAUAGUACAUCAUUACCGAAUGUGCUCGGCGCACUUCACGGAAUCGGACUACAUGGACCCGGCGAAAACCAAACUUAAAUGGUUGGCCGUGCCAUCCAUAAAGGCUCCAGACGAGUCGAAAGGUGACACUGCCAGCCCUGGGCACCUGCGGGAGCCGUCGCCUCAGCCAGGGCCAUCUGGGCUAUGAAGAGUUCCCAUCAAGUCCACCU